CUGUGGAUUCCUCAUCCCUGGAAAUUCCUGAUUCCAUCCCGGAUCCCGCAGGAAUUCCCUGGAUUCCCUUUCCCAGCUGGAAAAUCCCGCAGAAAAUCUGGGAUAAAGCAGGAAAAACAGGGAAAAAAUUCCCAUUUUCCAACCUUUCUGAUCACUGGGAUUCCUUCCCUAAAUGGGGUUGGAAUUCCCAGCUGGAAAAAUCCGACGGAAUCUCGAUUUAAAGCAGGAAAAACAGGGAAAAAAUUCCCAUUUUCCAAAGUUUCUCACCCUGGGAUUCCUUCCCUAAAUGGGGUUGGAAUUCCCAGCUGGAAAAUCCCGCAGAAAAUCUGGGAUAAAGCAGGAAAAACAGGAAAAAAUUCCCAUUUUCCAACCUUUCUGAGCCUGGAAUUCCUUCCCUAAAUAAAUUGGGAAUUCCCAGCUGGAAAAAAUCUGGGAUAAAACAGGAAAAAGGGGAAAAAAUUCCCAUUUUCCAAAGUUUCUCACCCUGGGAUUCCUUCCCUAAAUGGGGUUGAAAUUCCCAGCUGGAAAAUCCCGGAGAAAAUCUGGGAUAAAGCAGGAAAAUCAGGAAAAAAUUCCCAUUUUCCAAAGUUUCUGAGCCUGGAAUUCCUUCCCUAAAUGGGGUUGGAAUUCCCAGCUGGAAAAUCCUGGAGAAAAUCUGGGAUAAAGCAGGAAAAAUGGGGAGAAAAUUCCCAUUUUCCGACCUUUCUGACCACUGGAAUUCCCUCCAGGCCGUGAUUUUCCAGGGAAAACUGAAAUUCCGGGAGCAGCCUGGAGGACCCCAAGGUUUUUCCCAUGAAAUUCCCGAUUUUUUACGGAGCAAAACCUCGAUUUCUCCCCAAAUCCCAACAAAUCCUGAACCCUUUGGAAUUCCCGAAUCCAGAAAAAUUUGGGAUUUCAUGGAAUUUUUAUUUUUUCCCCCUCCUCCCCCAGCGCGUUCCCACGGAGGAAUUUUGGGAGUUUGGGAUCCCUCUGGAAUUUUCUCCUCGGAUUUGCAACAUUUGAUUCCCUCCCCUGCCGGGGGCUGCGGCUCCGCUGCUUUCCCUGGAAAAAAAACGGGAAAAAAACCACGGAUAGAAGGGUUGAGCAGCCUCUCCUCUUCCCUGGAUUCCCCCUCGGAGCGGCGGCACCAGCGGCGAGCCUCGGAUUCCCCGGAAUCCACAGGUGGGAACUGCGGCCACCGCCACUCGGGGGUCACUCGGGGGUCAAAGGUCACUCGGGGGUCACUCGGGGGUCACUGAAGGGUCAGGGGUCACCGAGGGGUCACUGAGGGGUCAUUGAGGGGUUAGGGGUCACUCAGGGGUCACUCGGGGGUCAAAGGUCACUCAGGGGUCACUCGGGGUCGCUCAGGGGUCAUUGAGGGGUCAGGGGUCACUCAGGGGUCAUUCAGGGGUCACUCAGGGGUCACUCAGGGGUGGGCAAUGACCCCGAGGCCUGGCAGUCCCUGAGCCCGGCCUGCGGAGCCUCAUUCCUUCCUCUUCCUCCUGUCCGUGUGUCCGUGUGUCUGUCCAUGUCCGUGUGUCCGUGUGUGUGUCCAUGUCCGUGUCCGUGUGUCUGUGUGUGUCUGUGUGUGUCCGUGUGUGUCCGUGUGUCCGUGUGUGUCCGUGUGUCCGUGUGUGUAUGUCCGUGUGUCCGUGUGUCCGUGUGUCCGUCUGUCCGUCUGUCUGUCUGUCCGUGUGUGUCUGUGUGUCCGUGUGUCUGUCUGUCCGUGUCCGUCCGUGUGUCNAGGGAGGGACAGACGGGGCUCAUUUGCGACACAAAGCCCGGCCCGGGCCCCGCAGCCGCCACCUGCUGCCCCCGCCCCGCGGCCCCGGCAUUCCCGGUAUUCCCGGUAUUCCCGGUAUUCCCAGCUUUCCCAGCUUUCCCAGCUUUCCCAGCUUUCCCAGCUUCCCAAACUCCUGAUCCUCCCGAGUUUCCCCGGCGGAUC
ensembl:lncRNA